rnacentral:rRNA from 1 species
AGGAGACUCUGAUCCAGCCAUGCCGCGUGCAGGAAGACGGCCCUAUGGGUUGUAAACUGCUUUUAUACAGGAAGAAACACUCGUACGUGUACGAGCUUGACGGUACUGUAAGAAUAAGGACCGGCUAACUCCGUGCCAGCAGCCGCGGUAAUACGGAGGGUCCAAGCGUUAUCCGGAAUCAUUGGGUUUAAAGGGUCCGCAGGCGGUCAAUUAAGUCAGAGGUGAAAUCCCAUAGCUUAACUAUGGAACUGCCUUUGAUACUGGUUGACUUGAGUCAUAUGGAAGUAGAUAGAAUGUGUAGUGUAGCGGUGAAAUGCAUAGAUAUUACACAGAAUACCGAUUGCGAAGGCAGUCUACUACGUAUUGACUGACGCUCAUGGACGAAAGCGUGGGGAGCGAACAGGAUUAGAUACCCUGGUAGUCCACGCCGUAAACGAUGGAUACUAGUUGUUGGGCAUUCGCUCAGUGACUAAGCGAAAGUGAUAAGUAUCCCACCUGGGGAGUACGGUCGCAAGACUGAAACUCAAAGGAAUUGACGGGGGCCCGCACAAGCGGUGGAGCAUGUGGUUUAAUUCGAUGAUACGCGAGGAACCUUACCAGGGCUUAAAUGUAGUCUGACAGCUUUAGAGAUAGAGUUUUCUUCGGACAGAUUACAAGGUGCUGCAUGGUUGUCGUCAGCUCGUGCCGUGAGGUGUCAGGUUAAGUCCUAUAACGAGCGCAACCCCUGUCGUUAGUUGCCAGCAUGUAAAGAUGGGGACUCUAACGAGACUGCCUACGCAAGUAGAGAGGAAGGUGGGGA